AGCAGCCGCGGGAAUACGUAGGGCGCAAGCGUUGUCCGGAAUUAUUGGGCGUAAAGAGCUCGUAGGCGGUCUGUCGCGUCUGGUGUGAAAUCCCGAGGCUCAACCUCGGGCUUGCAUCGGGUACGGGCAGACUAGAGUGCGGUAGGGGAGACUGGAAUUCCUGGUGUAGCGGUGGAAUGCGCAGAUAUCAGGAGGAACACCGAUGGCGAAGGCAGGUCUCUGGGCCGCAACUGACGCUGAGGAGCGAAAGCAUGGGGAGCGAACAGGAUUAGAUACCCCUGUAGUCCCUGUCUCUUAUACA
rnacentral:rRNA from 1 species